AAGUUUAGCUUCAAUUUCUUCAACAGUACAUGGAGUCCUAGCCUCCAACAGUCUUUUCCGAAGCCUUCUAGGUAUUCUAGGCGGAGAACUAAACGACAGCGCAUCACUUAUCGGAAAAUCAAGCGCCACCGCAACCCUCUCCGUCUCCGGCGAAGACGACUCAACUCCCCAUAAAUCAAAUUGAAAACAAUCACGCUCUCUCUACACGCGCAUAUACAGAUGAACAAAAACAGCGAAAUUUCUGGAAAUUUUCUUUAAUUUAGAAUGAAAGCAAGAAACGAAGAGACGAAGAGAGAGCGAUCGUUUAUAUAUAUAUAAAUUAUAAUGCUGCUAAGAAGAGAAAGGUCGC
rnacentral:misc_RNA from 1 species